rnacentral:rRNA from 2 species
GGGUUGUGAGGUUAAGCGACUAAGCGUACACGGUGGAUGCCCUGGCAGUCAGAGGCGAUGAAGGACGUGCUAAUCUGCGAAAAGCGCCGGCGAGGUGAUAUGAACCUUUGACCCGGCGAUGUCCGAAUGGGGAAACCCAGUGCAAUCCGUUGCACUAUCGUUUGAUGAAUACAUAGUCAAACGAGGCGAACCGGGGGAACUGAAACAUCUAAGUACCCCGAGGAAAAGAAAUCAACCGAGAUUCCCCCAGUAGCGGCGAGCGAACGGGGAGCAGCCCAGAGCCUGAAUCAGCUUGUGUGUUAGUGGAACGGUCUGGAAAGUCCGGCGAUACAGGGUGACAGCCCCGUACACGAAAGCACACAGGCUGUGAGCUCGAUGAGUAGGGCGGGACACGUGGUAUCCUGUCUGAAUAUGGGGGGACCAUCCUCCAAGGCUAAAUACUCCUGACUGACCGAUAGUGAACCAGUACCGUGAGGGAAAGGCGAAAAGAACCCCGGCGAGGGGAGUGAAAAAGAACCUGAAACCGUGUACGUACAAGCAGUGGGAGCCUCUUAAUGGGGUGACUGCGUACCUUUUGUAUAAUGGGUCAGCGACUUAUAUUCUGUAGCAAGGUUAACCGAAUAGGGGAGCCGAAGGGAAACCGAGUCUUAACUGGGCGUUAAGUUGCAGGGUAUAGACCCGAAACCCGGUGAUCUAGCCAUGGGCAGGUUGAAGGUUGGGUAACACUAACUGGAGGACCGAACCGACUAAUGUUGAAAAAUUAGCGGAUGACUUGUGGCUGGGGGUGAAAGGCCAAUCAAACCGGGAGAUAGCUGGUUCUCCCCGAAAGCUAUUUAGGUAGCGCCUCGUGAAUUCAUCUCCGGGGGUAGAGCACUGUUUCGGCUAGGGGGCCAUCCCGGCUUACCAACCCGAUGCAAACUACGAAUACCGGAGAAUGUUAUCACGGGAGACACACGGCGGGUGCUAACGUCCGUCGUGAAGAGGGAAACAACCCAGACCGCCAGCUAAGGUCCCAAAGUCAUGGUUAAGUGGGAAACGAUGUGGGAAGGCACAGACAGCCAGGAUGUUGGCUUAGAAGCAGCCAUCAUUUAAAGAAAGCGUAAUAGCUCACUGGUCGAGUCGGCCUGCGCGGAAGAUGUAACGGGGCUAAACCAUGCACCGAAGCUGCGGCAGCGACACUAAGUGUUGUUGGGUAGGGGAGCGUUCUGUAAGCCUGCGAAGGUGUGCUGUGAGGCAUGCUGGAGGUAUCAGAAGUGCGAAUGCUGACAUAAGUAACGAUAAAGCGGGUGAAAAGCCCGCUCGCCGGAAGACCAAGGGUUCCUGUCCAACGUUAAUCGGGGCAGGGUGAGUCGACCCCUAAGGCGAGGCCGAAAGGCGUAGUCGAUGGGAAACAGGUUAAUAUUCCUGUACUUGGUGUUACUGCGAAGGGGGGACGGAGAAGGCUAUGUUAGCCGGGCGACGGUUGUCCCGGUUUAAGCAUGUAGGCUGGUUAUCCAGGCAAAUCCGGAUAAUCAAGGCUGAGGUGUGAUGACGAGUCACUACGGUGAUGAAGUAACAAAUGCCCUGCUUCCAGGAAAAGCCUCUAAGCAUCAGGUAACACGAAAUCGUACCCCAAACCGACACAGGUGGUCAGGUAGAGAAUACCAAGGCGCUUGAGAGAACUCGGGUGAAGGAACUAGGCAAAAUGGUGCCGUAACUUCGGGAGAAGGCACGCUGAUAUGUAGGUGAAGCCCCUGCGGGUGGAGCUGAAAUCAGUCGAAGAUACCAGCUGGCUGCAACUGUUUAUUAAAAACACAGCACUGUGCAAACACGAAAGUGGACGUAUACGGUGUGACGCCUGCCCGGUGCCGGAAGGUUAAUUGAUGGGGUUAUCCGUAAGGAGAAGCUCUUGAUCGAAGCCCCGGUAAACGGCGGCCGUAACUAUAACGGUCCUAAGGUAGCGAAAUUCCUUGUCGGGUAAGUUCCGACCUGCACGAAUGGCGUAAUGAUGGCCAGGCUGUCUCCACCCGAGACUCAGUGAAAUUGAACUCGCUGUGAAGAUGCAGUGUACCCGCGGCAAGACGGAAAGACCCCGUGAACCUUUACUAUAGCUUGACACUGAACAUUGAGCCUUGAUGUGUAGGAUAGGUGGGAGGCUUUGAAGCGUGGACGCCAGUCUGCGUGGAGCCAACCUUGAAAUACCACCCUUUAAUGUUUGAUGUUCUAACGUGGACCCGUGAUCCGGGUUGCGGACAGUGUCUGGUGGGUAGUUUGACUGGGGCGGUCUCCUCCCAAAGAGUAACGGAGGAGCACGAAGGUUGGCUAAUCCUGGUCGGACAUCAGGAGGUUAGUGCAAUGGCAUAAGCCAGCUUGACUGCGAGCGUGACGGCGCGAGCAGGUGCGAAAGCAGGUCAUAGUGAUCCGGUGGUUCUGAAUGGAAGGGCCAUCGCUCAACGGAUAAAAGGUACUCCGGGGAUAACAGGCUGAUACCGCCCAAGAGUUCAUAUCGACGGCGGUGUUUGGCACCUCGAUGUCGGCUCAUCACAUCCUGGGGCUGAAGUAGGUCCCAAGGGUAUGGCUGUUCGCCAUUUAAAGUGGUACGCGAGCUGGGUUUAGAACGUCGUGAGACAGUUCGGUCCCUAUCUGCCGUGGGCGCUGGAGAAUUGAGGGGGGCUGCUCCUAGUACGAGAGGACCGGAGUGGACGCAUCACUGGUGUUCGGGUUGUCAUGCCAAUGGCACUGCCCGGUAGCUACAUGCGGAAAAGAUAAGUGCUGAAAGCAUCUAAGCACGAAACUUGCCCCGAGAUGAGUUCUCCCCUGGACUUUAAGUCCACUAAAGGAACGUUGAAGACGACGACGUUGAUAGGCCGGGUGUGUAAGCGCAGCGAUGCGUUGAGCUAACCGGUACUAAUGAACCGUGAGGCUUAACCUUACAACGCCGAAG